UUUGAGGGGAAUGUUGGCUGGCUCGAGGCUUUUCAGUUUCACAAAGGAAGUUCAGUCUUAAUUGUAUGAACUAUAAGGCUUCGGACCAGGCUUCAUUCCCCUCAAAAUCUUAAUUGUUUCUUCUUGUGAGUUUAUCCUUAUUAUAUAUGAAAUCAUCUCUAUAUAUCUACCUAUUUAGAUUUGUAAAGAUCAAAGAGAAGCAAGAGUUAGGUUGAGAGGAACGUUGUCUGGCUCGAGGUGAUGGAGAUGGAAGAGUACUCUCUACUCACUCAUCACUAACUUUCAAUCUCGGACCAGGCUUCAUUCCCCCCAGC
rnacentral:lncRNA from 1 species